rnacentral:rRNA from 1 species
AACGUAGGAUCCGAGCGUUAUCCGAAUUCACUGGGCGUAAAGCGCGUGCAGGCGGCAUAGAAAGUUGGAUGUGAAAUCUCCCGGCUCAACUGGGAGAGGACGUUCAAAACUACUAGGCUAGAGGAUGGUAGAGGAAGGCGGAAUUCCCGGUGUAGUGGUGAAAUGCGUAGAUAUCGGGAGGAACACCAGUGGCGAAGGCGGCCUUCUGGGCCAUACCUGACGCUCAGACGCGAAAGCUAGGGGAGCAAACGGG